rnacentral:rRNA from 1 species
CCUACGGGGGGCAGCAGUGAGGAAUAUUGGUCAAUGGACGAGAGUCUGAACCAGCCAAGUAGCGUGAAGGAUGACGGCCCUAUGGGUUGUAAACUUCUUUUAUAUGGGAAUAAAAUGUUCCACGUGUGGGAUUUUGUAUGUACCAUAUGAAUAAGGAUCGGCUAACUCCGUGCCAGCAGCCGCGGUAAUACGGAGGAUCCGAGCGUUAUCCGGAUUUAUUGGGUUUAAAGGGAGCGUAGGUGGAUUGUUAAGUCAGUUGUGAAAGUUUGCGGCUCAACCGUAAAAUUGCAGUUGAAACUGGCAGUCUUGAGUACAGUAGAGGUAGGCGGAAUUCGUGGUGUAGCGGUGAAAUGCUUAGAUAUCACGAAGAACUCCGAUUGCGAAGGCAGUUCACUGGACUGCAACUGACACUGAGGCUCGAAAGUGUGGGUAUCAAACAGGAUUAGAUACCCGAGUAGUC